rnacentral:rRNA from 1 species
UACGGAGGGUGCAAGCGUUAUCCGGAAUCACUGGGUUUAAAGGGUGCGUAGGCGGCUUGAUAAGUCAGGGGUGAAAGCCCGCAGCUUAACUGCGGAACUGCCUUUGAUACUGUCGAGCUUGAAAGGGGUUGAGGUCAGCGGAACGUGACAUGUAGCGGUGAAAUGCAUAGAUAUGUCACAGAACACCGAUUGCGAAGGCAGCUGGCUGGACCUACUUUGACGCUGAGGCACGAAAGCGUGGGGAGCGAACAGG